rnacentral:rRNA from 1 species
CAGCCGCCGCGGUAAAACGUAGGUCCCGAGCGUUGUCCGGAUUUAUUGGGCGUAAAGGGAGCGCAGGCGGUUUAGUAAGUCUGAAGUUAAAGGCACUGGCUCAACCAAUAUAUGCUUUGGAAACUGUUAGACUUGAGUGCAGGAGAGAAAAGUGGAAUUCCUAGUGUAGCGGUGAAAUGCGUAGAGAUUAGGAGGAACACCAGUGGCGAAGGCGGCUUUUUGGCCUGUAACUGACACUGAGGCGCGAAAGCGUGGGGAGCAAACAGGAUUAGAUACCCGUGUAGUCCCUGUCUCUUAUACA